UUUCUUCUGCUAGAAUAUUGUUCUUCACCUAAAGAAAAAAAAAAGUGAAACAAAAGAAGCAGUAAAAGCUGAAUCAAUUCGAGAGUUAGUUGGUAGACAUUGAAAAGAAGAAAGAGUUGGUUCUUAAGAAGAUUAGAGAGGAAAUUGAUCUUUUUCUGUGGGAUCUGUUUAUGCCGAUAGAAUAGAAGGAACCAAAGGGGUUUGAAGGUCCUGAUAUGGAUAAUAUAACAUGGGUUUCGUUCAAAUUGAUGAAUAGAGGAGAAAUUUAUAAGAAUUUCAUUUAGAGGAAGUUUGGUAUAAUUUGUUCCCUAAUUUAUGCUUGAAUUGGUGUGAUUUGAGUUUGCUGUUAGAUGAGAAUAUAGAUCUGGAAGUUUUUGUUGCUGGAGAAGGGUUUGAGUAUGGGUUUAUAGAGAAGAACAAGAUUUGAGGUUAGGUGGUGGUUGAUGUUUAAGGUUUAGAGUUGAUGAUGGUGGUUGUUGCAGGAUACAAAACAAGGAUUGAUGGAUAUUUUUUGGGUUAACAAAUUCAAAUUAGAUCGAUGAAUUUGUUCUUUAUUUAGACUCAAUUCAAUAUCAGCAAAACGAUUCGACAACUUUGUUAACAAAAUCGAUCCAAAAGAGGAGUGAGAUAAGUGAUGCUUGUAAGUUGUUUGACAAAAUUCCACAACAAUGUAAUGUUCUCCGUACUAGGGAAUUAAUUGGUGUUUUGUUGAGAUUGCAUCCAUGUAACUGGUUCUGGUGAAGAUGCAGGUGCACUGCUGAGAAUGUGGAAAAGAAGGUUGAGCAGUUGUUGUUGAUUACAGAGAAAUGGGGUGUUGGCUUUGGUGUGGUAAUAUUGUUGACUUUAGAUAAUGAAGCAAUGCAGAUGGGGAUUGUAAUUGUGCUGCAAUGGUGGUAUUUGAACUGAUUUUGCUGCAGAAAUAGAUGAAUGUUAGGUUGAAAUCAGGGAAAUAAAGAUGGUAGUAGGAUGGGUCAGUAAGACUAUGGAUUUGUAUUGAUUGCAGACAAGAGAUGGAGCUAAGAUGGUGAAAAUUCAGGAGAUGGAUUUGGUUGCUGCUAAUGGAAAUGGAGAGUUUCCAGGUGAAAAAGAUUUUGAAGAUAUGAGAGAUGGUUGUGACAAAUGUAUUUUUACGGAGAAGAUUAAUGAAGGGUUAACAAAGGUAUCGAAGCUAAGAAGAAUCUUGCAGUGAUGGACAAGUACGUAGAAUGGAGAAGGGGACCGUUGUUGAGAAAGUGGUGGUGAUUCCGAAUUGCAGAUCUGGUGAUGAUGAAUUGGGUUUGAAAAAUCUGCUACUGUGAAUCUGGAGGUGUUAGAAUGGGUUUUUGUAUGAAUUGAAAUCCAUUACAGAGAUGGAAUUUACCCUGUUGCUUCGAGGGAUCGAGGAAUGCUCAGGAUUGCAAUGGAAGAAUGAAGAUGCUACUCUUGGCUUACAAAGAAUUGUUGGUGCUGAUAUUGAAAUGCUACUGAGAUAAUGGGUUUGGACUGAAAUUGAAGUAACUGUUGGUAUGGCCGAGAUAGUGGGUGUCAUUGAAGAUGUCUGGCAGAAGAGAAUGAGAUUCAAGCUAACAGUCAAGUUGAAGCUAUGAGUCUGGUUUUGGUAUUGGAACUGAAGAUGGUGUUGUGAUGCUUUUGGUUUUGGAGUUAUUGAAGCUGCAAAAGAAGCUACAUCUAGGAAGUUAUUCUUUAAGUUAGGCUGUGCAAAUGGCUUAGGCCAAGUCUAUGUGUUUAGUAGGCUAUAUUUCCACGUGUUUGUAACGAUGACAUGUACACUAUCGACUUGUCAUGUCAUAUUCCACGUGUACAAAGUCAACUCUGUGACAAAUACUUGAAUCAACGAUUUAAAGGAUUAUUCUGUCAUUUUAGGUGUA